ACAUGGGUUUGGAUUUAAGGCAAGCCCAUACCCCUGGGUCUUUCAUGAGGGAUACUUUCCAAAGCCAAAGCAAACUGUGGCCUUGAAUCAUUGUUUGGCUUCUAUCUGUAAGCCACAGGCACUGAAACAGGUUGCACAGUA